GACCAUAUGAUCUAAUGGUAUGAUACUACUACUUCACAGUAGUUAUACGAGUUCAAUCCUCGUUGUGGUUA
rnacentral:tRNA from 1 species